rnacentral:rRNA from 1 species
UACGAAGGGUGCAAGCGUUAAUCGGAAUUACUGGGCGUAAAGCGUGCGCAGGCGGUUAUGUAAGUCAGAUGUGAAAUCCCCGGGCUCAACCUGGGAAUUGCAUUUGAGACUGCAUGGCUAGAGUGUGUCAGAGGGGGGUAGAAUUCCACGUGUAGCAGUGAAAUGCGUAGAGAUGUGGAGGAAUACCGAUGGCGAAGGCAGCCCCCUGGGAUAACACUGACGCUCAUGCACGAAAGCGUGGGGAGCAAACAGG